UGAAGCCGGAAUUGCUAGUAAUGGCAGGUCAGCAUACUGCCGUGAAUACGUUCCCGGGCCUUGUACACACCGCCCGUCACACCAUGAGAGUUGGGAAUACCCGAAGCCUGUGAGCUAACGUUAAGAGGCAGCAGUCGAAGGUAGAAUCAAUGAUUGGGGUGAAGUCGUAACAAGGUACC
rnacentral:rRNA from 1 species